rnacentral:tRNA from 1 species
CCGGCGCUCGGCCGGCGGCAGGUCGUCGGCGGUCAGGUCGGCGAUGGUGGCGGCCAGGUCGUCGUCGGCCGGGUGGCCGCCGGCGGGCAGGUC